GCUUUGGCAGACUUUGGAGGUGGAGUUGGCUGGGAGGAGCUCUGAAGCAUGGGUCUAGGUGAGACUGCUUCCCUGAAUGGCCAGGUGGUGGCAUAGACCUUGUGGGAGAUCCAGCUAAUGUGGUGUCAUCCAUCUAUAUUCUCUGUCUUAAUGUCUUCUAGGACAGCAGGCCUUUGACAUUAUGAUUGUAACUCUAAGUUGUUUCAGAGGUCACUUAUACAGUCUGAAAGAGCUCAGAUGAAUAAAGCUAAGGACAAUCAAAUCUCCAGCGCUUAAC
rnacentral:lncRNA from 1 species